UACAAGAAAUAAUAAAUAUUCAUGUAUUGUUAUGAAUGGUGUCGAGUAUUGUGUAUGAAUAUUUUUCUACAUUUCCAAAUUCACAUUAAAAUAUUGACAAUAGAGAUAGUAGAGGAUAAAUCAGAAAUAAAAGAAAAAUAAAAUAAAAUAAAAUAAAAUAUAAAAAAAAAAAAAAUUUCAAGUAUAAUAAAAUUGUAUAGUUAAUAUAUAUGCAUGCACUAACAGUUAUUAUUCUUAGAGUUAUUUCUUUAGAAUUUCUCGAAUCUGCAGACGAUUUCGCUGUUAUACUGAAUCAUUAAGUACAUAUAUUUAAACGUGAAUAAUUGGGAGAAUGCCUAAUCUAAAAUACAACGAACGUAUACACCUAUAUUCUUUCAUUACCGUUGGCAUUAGAUGAAAAAGAAUAAUAAAAAUGAAGCAGAACGUCCAGAUCAAAACAAGAAACUUACUCGGCUCGUGAAGAACGACUUGUGCCAAACCAUCGGCAAGAGAUGCUGUAAAAGUUGGCGUUUUUGAGUGGGAGCUACUGGAAGCCCCGGUUUGAAUGUGCGUAUUUGGAUCUAAAGCUCCGCCACUUGCCGAUACAAUAUCACAACACCAAUACAAUAAUUGAACACUAAUCAGUACAAUAACAUCAGCGUCCACGACCCCUCGCAUUUUAGGUUAACUUCGUCUUAUUAUUAAAUAUGUAUCUCACACCAAGCUUUAUCUAGCUUUUGUAUAUAAAUAUCAAAACUUUAUUAAUCCCCUGUGUCCCGUCUAAUUCCGACGCGCGGUCGUGAAUGUGCUCAAAAUUACAAUUAUCACAACCGGGAUGUUGGCAUCGUUCGGAGAUGAUGAUGAUGAUGAUGAUGAUGAUUUGUUGAGUACGUUGCCACAAGUGCAAUCGAUUAUACGUUAUUAAACUAACUUCAUCACAAGUGAUAUAUCCGAUACGUUUAUAUAUCUACAAAAUCACUUCUCAUUUAAGUACCCGUAUUAUUUUAUAAAUUAAGUAUAUACCGCGUGUCCCUGAAUAAAAUAUUCUUUCUCAAGGCUAUUGUACAUACGCUCCUUCACUCAUCGCCACUACACCAAGAUGCGAUUUUAAACUUGCGGAUUGGUACCACAUAUGGCUACUUCAGAUAUUCCCAACACCUGCUGCUUACUUUGGUAAUUGCCAAGAUUCCACUGCGUAUCGUUCCUUAAGAAAUAACAAAUAUAUAUCGAGAAUUAGUUUGAAUUUAAUUAAACAACGAGGAUUAAUUACAAGCAAAAGAUUAAACGCAAUGUUUAUUUAAGAAAUUGAAAAAUAUAUCAUUUUUUAUAAUCGUACAUUUAUCGCUCAGUUAUAUUAGCCAUCUUAGGUAAGUAUAAUGUUUUUUUUUUUUUACUAGAGAAAGUGACCACAUUGAAAUAUUUUUAUAAAUUGAACGUUUAAGAGCGCCCUCUUUGAUAAAUUAUUACCCAAAACAUGCGCAUGAAAGAGCGCGCGUGAUAAUUUGCGUAUAUUGUAUUUACAUCAUGAGAACGAUGUAAUAUAUUAGUCAUCAACGAAAUACUUAAUAUAUAUAUAUACAUACAUAUAUAUAUAUAUAUAUGUCCUCUUCGUGUGUCUAUAAUUAUAAUUUAGCUAUACGUCGUAUUCCUCAAUAUAUUCUUUAUAUAUGUUAACCAUUAUUUUGAACUAGCACACUAGUCAGGAAUGCAAUAUAAAAAAAACAAAAAUUACCAUAGUUUUAAAUAGAUUUAAAAAGUACAUUUGAAAUUUAUAAUAUUUUUUUACAAUUAUGUAUGAACACAGGUUUAUAAGAAAAGAUAGGAAGUAAACAUUUAAACAUAGGAAGUAUAUAUUUAAUCUACUAAAGUUAAAUAUUAAAAAACAUUUUCUCAUGAAUUCAUAACUCAUUCAUGUACUUUCUUAAGUUAUUGUAUAGCAAAGGUCAUUUGGUGCAAUAAAGUAAGUCAUAUUAAUUGAAUGCUCA